CCGACACGGAAACUUGGUCAGGUCUUUGUCUGUAAGUAGUUAUUGUGUAUAUAAAUAUUUUGUUUGUUUCGGAUUAAAAUCUCUGACUCGUUAAUGUUCUUUGUAUUCGCCUUGUUUUGUGGCUGAGCAACACCUGACGACCAACGCCUGUCAGGACAUGUAGUGCUAAAUUUGGCCAAAAGAGGGCGACAUUCGCUACACCUCAGCUGGUUCUGGUAGGCGGUGACGGCGGUGAAGACGGUCUCCACGAAGACGAAGGUGCGGAAUUCCUCGGACUUGAAGUUGAGCAGCGAGGCCGUGUGCUCCUUCUUCUUGAUGAUGUGAACACGAGCGUUAUUUAUCUGCGUGUUCUCUUACCUUCCGGACUUGGUGAUGAUCAUCUCGGUGCCCAGAUCGUGGAACUUGUCCCACAGGUCUUUGGUCUCCAGGCUGCAGGAGAUCUUGGCCAUCUCCUCGCUGGGGACGCCCGGGCUGGUGGGGAUGAGGGGCUCCGUGCACGCCGCGGGCACGCUCCCCGCGAACUCUCCGUGCACGUCCAGCGACGACGGGAGGUCGGCGAGGGGCGGCUGGUUGCAGGAGGACUUCUCCACGAACUGUUCUGAUGGACCCACGCACAACAGAAGGAAGUAUUAGUACCGAGGGGCUUGAUGGUGCUCUCCUCGGCCUCCUUCUCCCGGCUCGGCUUCCCGCUGGACAUGAGCGCGGCGAUGGAGAAGGCGUUGGCCCGGGAGGACAGCUGCGGCUUCGGGGAGGAAGUGUACUCCAUGUCGCUGAAGAACCAGGGAAAAAAAAAAAAAAAAAAAAGUUCUAAAAAAAAAAAAAUAAAUAAAAAUAUUCUCCUACUUUGGCAGAAAAGAUGCCGAUCACCCCCCCACGCCCCCCGUGGAGAGGCGCGCUCCUGCUUGACGUGGAACUUCAGCAAGUCCACAGCGCGUGCAUGGCGGGGGGGAACUCUUCCACGAAACAAGAAGAAGAAGAAGAAGAAGAAAAAGUUCCACGCUGCGUGUCUGAGGUGGCGCGUCUUUAGCCAGCUGGGCUCCAACUUCUCCUGCUUUUGACUGCACUACGUCCGCCAAUCAGCGGACUUGGCUUCCACGUGACGCCGUCCCACCUCAGCAGCCAAUCAAACGCCGCCUUGCUCGGACAUGCGUGA